UUCUCUUACCUUGGCAAAGGCCUCACACAAGAUUUCUCUACUAGAACCUGGAGCUGCAGCAAGUACCUGGGAAGUCACUGAGUUUGCUGUGGCUCUUGAGUGCAAGGCAGUCAGAUGAAGUAAAGAGCUCUCCUGUGAAGUGUGCACCGGAGAGAUGUUUUGGAAAGGACCUGGGACUCCUCGCUUUGAGAGCAGCAAUGUGGGGCUCAACUAAGAAGUCCAACAUAAGAUCAGUGCUGUGGCUGCUGGGGCCAGUGUCUGAGCAUUAUCUUCCCCUGACUGCACAUGUUGGGGAAGAAGCUGGAGAGCAGUCAGACUGCAGAGACUGCUCCUCAAAGCCAUUUUCAGCACAGGACGCUUCCAUUCAUGAGGUUGAUACACAAAAGACAGAUCUUUCCCCACUCCAGGGUGGAAGGAGGCAUAUCAAGAUGACCUUUCUCUGGUGUGAUGCAGUCCAGCAGCUGUUGCUAACAGCCUCUAGGAGCAGAAACAAAUGGAAGCAUCAGCUGAAGCCUAAAACACCAGCAUCUAAGCUGUUGCUUAAGCCACCGUGUUAGAAGAGAGAGAUGAAGGUUUUCUUUGUGACGAAUUGAUGCUAGCACUCCCCUCCAGCGAAGGAGAGAUAACAAGCCCUAAUAAAACCACUUUUCAGCUUCACGGAUACAGCUUUCCUCUACUUCCCCAACAAAAUACCUUCCGUAGCUGAUAGUCCUCCCUGUCUGUGGGAGUUUUGGGGAUCGGUGCUCUCUAAGCCGAGCUCUGCUCACAUGUUUUGUGAUACACCAUGAACUGUUCAGAACCGCACGCUUUCUCGCAUAAUAGGAAGCUGCUGUAUGUUGCUCCUCCUGGGUGGCUCCAAGCAACCAAAGGCUUCAACAUUUGAAAGAUAAAUAUAUGCAGAGCCAGCAGAGGCCAGUGGAGCCAGGGGCUACACCGCUUCCUGCUCUCUGAAAACCUGUAGGAGGAGAGAUGCUAUUGCUCCCAAACACAACCGUGAGCUCAUUAGAGCAGGGAGAGCUGCUUGGGCGCAGGGAGCACCCUGCUGCAUCCCUCCCUGCCGAGGCAAGGGCUGGGCUGGCUCAGUGAGGGUGGGAGUUAGGUUGUCCCCACUGGGGCAGGCUGUGGGCUCGCUGCCUGUCCUGGAGGGUAAGGCAUCUCCAGCAGCAUCAGUCGCUUUUUGUUCUGUUCAAGCUCCUGUGAUUGUGUUGGAAGGGAUCUGUCUCUUUGGGUGGAAUUUUUCUGGCAGUACCUGGGGUUUCUGCAAGCUCUGCCCAUUCCUGCUGUGCUCAGCUGCUCACAAGGGGGAUGCAGUGUGGGGUGUUCUGCUCGCAGCAGCCCAGAGACCUGGGAUAAAAUGGCUUGGAAAAUCCUGUUGAGGUCACCAGUGGUAUGAGUGGAUUAGGUCUCGUCCUUUUGUUUUGAGGACACUUUUUUCCUUGUGAAAUCACCACUGUGUUUUGACUUAACCAGCACAUUGGAAGGACACAGAAUGGGGCAGGCAGAAGACAACACUUGAGUGAAUCUCUGCAAAGGUUUGCUCUUCAUCUCGAGUAUCUGGGCAGAGGGAGGCUAGGGACGCUGCGGCACGAGGCACGGGCCAGCGCUGCUGCCGGGAGGACGGUGAGCAAUGUCAAGGGUGAGUGUGUGUGCUGCUGGCCUGCUCCCACCACGUGCUGCCUGCCUGCUUUCUGCUCUCUCUCAUCUAUCAAAGUAAUGAUGCCCAUUACAUUUCUCCUUUCAGGUUUUACCCUCCCAAAUGUUAUUCCACAGCAUUAAACCCGUGGGGGAAGUGAAUUAUUGGGGAAAGUAACUAGAUAUAAUCCAAGUUUAAUGGGCACAUAGAAAAAGCACAUUGGGUUGGGAGGGUGUCUCAGCCAGCGUCCUGCUUCUGCAGGCAAAUAGAAAUUUAUCUUGAUGUGUGUACAUAUAUAGCUUCGUGAUCUGUGAGCUCUUAAUAAUUGGUUUGGUGACCUGCCGGCAGUGUUCUCUCUCUGUAGAGCUUUCCCCAGUCCCCAGUUAAUAUAAUGGGUCACAAAUCCCAUUUGCUUUUGAAUUCUGAGUAAUCCUUUUGUUAAUGUUGCCUAUUGCUUUUCUGGAAGCGAUGGAGGAAAUCAGAGCUAUGGGCUAAUCAGUAAAUCUGGUUCUGCAUGUUUGUAAGCCCCUGCCCUGCCCUGCUCGCUUUUUCCAAAUGACAAGUGCAGCCCAUUUGUGUCAGACCCAACGCACCCCUCUGCAAAACAGCAAUUGUUUCCCAAGUCAUGUUACUAGCAAAUGACACGGGCUUCAAAUGUUGGAUGAGGUUGGGGAAGGCAGCGGAGGGUGAUGGGGAGUGAGCAGCCAAGUGAUAAGGGGCUUGGGAAGGAGGGAGUCUGGGCAUUUGGGGUGUCUGAUCCCACCAGUGCCCCGUGUGGAGGGGCAGGGAGUUCCCCAUUUCAUGGUUGCGGGAUUGGUGACUGCUGGAGGAGGCACCCAUGGGACACACUUUUCCACUCCUACUCCACCAGUGCUCACAGCUCAACAGCCAGUCUUGCCCCCUGCGCCGAAGUAGGGGAUGUGGCACAGCAGAGGAUGCCCAUCCCAUAGCAUGCUAGAGGCUCCUGAUCUAGCCGGGGCUGGAGGCAGUGAGCAGGAUGGGUGUUGCCUGUCCCAGACCCUCCUGGAUUUCAUAUCCUGUAGUUCUCUCACCCUGGAAGCAGGACUGUGGUGAGCUGUGGCUGUCUUGCCUGCUCUCUCCUGAUUUUGUGGGUAGGUGGGUGUCAGAGCCCUUUCUGAGGGACAAGAAGCUGCCAGAUGACCAGCCCUUAGGGUGGGCAUAGAUUUACCUCUACUAAAGUGAGGGGAGGGAGAGCAUCAGCCCCCCAAAUUUCAUGAAGACCUGUAAAACACUUCACCUGCUGUUGGCGCUAACCCAAAGGCUACAAGUGACUUGUUGGGACUGUGUUCCUCCUGCAGUGGUUGCCCACGAAUUGAACUGGGUGGGAAACUCCAGUAGUGUCUCCAAGCACCAGAAUAUCUGAGUCACAACAUCAGUGUUUCCUGAUUGUUUUUGUUUGUUUCCUGAUUUUUCAGUCUCCUGCACAGCUGACAAGCCUCACCCUUCACCCCUUUCCCUCGCGCGUCGUUUGUCUCCCUAUUUUUAGCCCGUCUGUGGCAUUCUUUACGCAAUGCCUGUGUGCACCACUUUGAUCAGAGUUGCUGACAACCACACGACCUUGAAGUGUAGCAGCCAGCAGCCAGCUCACUGCCGCUUCCACCCUGACUGCGCUGAAGCGACUGGAGUAUGCAAGCUGGCGAGGGGACACCAGCGUCCCUGGCCACCACCGUGUGUUCUGGCACCAGCACCCAGGUCAGCCUUGUCCCAGUUUCUUCCCCGGAGAGCGAGGAGGUAACACAUCUCUGAGGAUCUGAGGGCUCUUUUGGUGUGCACUGGGAAUGAACAGAUAGGCUGGGAACAUCUCACUGCUUGUGCCUGUGUGACCAUGAGACUCCAAACACCAGCCAGAGGGGUCCCCAGGCCUCAGAUAAAGGUUGAAAUCCGAGCAGGGAACCUGCCAGUCUCAGUAAUGUGAUUUGCAGUGAUCUCCUGACUGGGCAGGGAGGGACGAGGGUGCAGGAGCUCCUUGCAGGAUGCUGAUGCAGAGCUUUUUCCAAGGAGGUUGUGUUUCCCCUUGAACGUUAAUUGGGAGCUGCCAGGGUGCAUCUGGGCUCUGUGAUGGGGCUGGAGGCUCCUGUGGGUACCAGGGAGCCAGCAACAAGUUGUGCUGUUUCCAGGGGCAAGGGCAAGCGGGCACGCUGUCCCCAAGGAGCAGGGCAGGGCAGAAGAGCACUCGGAGAUGUAGCAUGGAGCACUCCUGAAGCACCACCAUCAGCAGCACUGUGGAAGCCAACCUGGCUCACUCUCCCUGGCUUACAGGUCAGGGAAGAGACGGGACCAGUGAGCAGUCAGGGACCACCAUGGGAAGCUGGGACCACCGUAACUGGGGACCUGAGUGUGUGAGGGGUGUGUGCUGAGCACUUGUCCCCACUCUGUGCAGUUAGCACCUCCCCCGGGAGGGGACAAGGUGACAUCCCCUCCUUCUCCCAGGACUAAACCAAUCCCCCAGCUGAUUUUUCAGAUGUGAAGCCAGCUGUGCUGCAGAGCUGCUUGGUUCUUGUGUUUUUGGUUUCUUUGUUGAGCCUCAAUAGGACCAUCCAUCUUCUCCUGUCUCCUCCAGAAUGCUUGUGCACCUACUACCAAGGAGUGCUAUAAUCUCAGUACCCAUUUAACAUGAAUAAAAAGCCUUCUGGGACAAUAGGUCAUGGUUAUACAAUUUAAUUCAAGUAGAGAAAAGGCCUUUAUAGCUAUGAAUACAUGAAUACUUAAAAUAUAUAUAUAACAUUGGUUAACAUCAGGACUUAUAAGCAUAAUAUAUAUAUAGUACUGGGUUUAACAGUCUGUUCCUUGACUGGGCUGUAGCUGUUCUGCCUGUCAGCUCUGUCCCAGCGGUUCUUCGUGGCUGGAGUCACAAUUUGCGCUGCUCUGCCCACUUUUGCUGGGCUCUCGGAAGGGAGAGCAGUGGUUAUGGGCAGAGGGAGGCUGGGAAGGGAGGUCUAUGGUUGCUCCUCGGUGGGGAUGGGGAUGUGAGAGGUGAGGAUGCGGCACCUCUGCCUGCGGGUAAGGAAUCACACGCAGAGCUGGGUUGGUUGCUGAUGCACUACACGGCAGUUUGCUCCUGUUAUUUGUCUGCCCUGAAGACAGUGGCAUGCAAGAAAAAGAAAACCACAAACAAGAAGAAGAAAAAUUAAUAGCUUUAAAGAAAAUAAAGUGUCAUUUCUGUAGGUAAUUAAUUACUAAUUAUACAAUCACAGCAUUGUCUGUAUCAUUAAAAUUGCUUGGUUUUUCAAUACAUUGUAGUUUUAAUUAAACAAAUCCUUAGAAUUUUUUUCUCCUCCUUUGUAACACAAAGUCAUUUUUUUUUAUUAGUGCCAAAGAAUAAAUUAAUUGUGUAAUUAGCGACUAUUACUUUGUCACUCCUGGAAGGGCUUUUUCCAGGUUGUAUGUAGACAGUGGCUGGGGAAUGGUUAUGAAAUGUUGUUUGGUACCAAGACUCCUUGGAAGAAGCUGUCUGUGGCUGGAGAUGCUGGUGGAGGUGGGGAUUUGGCAGCACUGGGAUAUAGCCAGAAAGAAGGGGGUGAAAAACUAUGUCAGGGCUGGCCGGAGGAGGCGCUCUCAAGCACUGGCGGGUAUCUGCUUGCUUACUUGCAUGCCUGUGAGGAAACGUUUCAUUUUGAUGCGGAAAUGCUCUCUAGAAGGCAUCCUAAGAUCCUCUAGAAAAGAAGCGGUAGUGAGGCUGCAGCUGCUUUCACGUACUCCCCUUGGUACAGGUGGGAAACUCCGGGGUAGGAUUAAGUGUGCACCAUCACAGUCAUCAUUACAGGGGGCUGAAGGCUGGCAUGUCUGCCCCCUGCCCCACAAUGUGUAGGGUACGCAGCAGAUUCCAGACAGGAAGAGGGGAAUUUAGCAUGCAGCUAGUGAUAGGGUCUUAAUAGAUCUGCACUUAUUAUUUAGAAAAGAAAGAAUCAGGAUUACAGGCUUAUGAGGGAUUAGCAAGCAUGAAUGCGUAUUUCUGUGUAUACUGCUCCUUUUGUAAACCUGUUGUGCCAUUAGCCUGAGACAG